rnacentral:rRNA from 1 species
GAAUUGCUGUAAUGGCAGGUCAGCAUACUGCCGUGAAUACGUUCCCGGGCCCUUGUACACACCGCCCGUCACACCAUGAGAGUUGGAAAUACCCGAAGCCUGUGAGCUAACAGUAAUGAGGCAGCAGUCGAAGGUAGAGCCAAUGAUUGGGGUGAAGUCGUAACAAGGUAAC